rnacentral:pre_miRNA from 1 species
GAUGUCCAUUUUAUGCUGUAUAACUGAACGGGAGAAGUUAUAGCGCUGUAUGUUAUGUUAUAGCCAUAAGCGUAUAGCUUUUCCCCUUGGUUGUACAACAAAAUGCAUC